rnacentral:rRNA from 1 species
UGGGAGGUAAAUUUCUCCUAAGGCUAAAUAUCGGCGAGAGACCGAUAGCGAACAAGUACCGUGAGGGAAAGAUGAAAAGAACUUUGAAAAGAGAGUAAAAUAGUACGUGAAAUUGUUGAAAGGGAAACGAUUGAAGUCAGUCGUACCGACGAGAACUCAGCUUAUCGUGUGUGAACUUGUGGGCGUGCGUGAGUUUCGGCCUCGCUGUUUGCAUGUUUGUGCGCUUUGGGUGUACUUUUUCGUAUGGUAGGCCAACAUCAGUUUCGAUCACUAUAAAAUGACUGGCGGAAUGUAGCUUCGAUUUCGGUUGAAGUGUUAUAGCCUCUGGUAGAUGUGGUAAUUGGGACUGAGGAUUGCAACGAAUAUCCUUUGGGCUAUCCGUCUGGCCUCUGAAAGUUGCUUAGGUGCUGAAAGCUUGCUUAUGGUUAUCUAAGUUAACGGUCAAUAGGUUAGAACGUGAUUACAUUCGCUAAGGAUGUUGGCGUAAUGGCUUUAAACGACCCGUCUUGAAACACGGACCAAGGAGUCUAACAUAUAUGCGAGUGUUCGGGUGUGUAAACCCCUACGCGUAAUGAAAGUAAUUUAGGUGAGAUCACUUUUUUGUGUGCACUAUCGACC